rnacentral:rRNA from 1 species
AUUGAACGCUGGCGGCAGGCCUAACACAUGCAAGUCGAACGAGUGGCGGACGGGUGAGUAAUGUCUGGGACACUGCCUGAUGGAGGGGGAUAACUACUGGAAACGGUAGCUACUACCGCAUACCAUCGGAUGUGCCCAGAUGGGAUUAGCUCGUAGGUGGGGUAACGGCUCACCUAGGCGACGAUCCCUAGCUGGUCUGAGAGGAUGACCAGCCAAACUGGAACUGAGACACGGCCCAGACCCUUACGGGAGGCGGCAGUGGGGAAUAUUGCACAAUGGGCGAAAGCCUGAUGCAGCCAUGCCGGGGGUAUGAAGAAGUCCUUCGGGUGGUAAAGUACGUUCAGCGGGGAGGCGUUACCCGCAGAAGAAGCACCGGCUAACUCCGUGCCAGCAGCCGCGGUAAUUC